UGGUGGGUAGUUUGACUGGGGCGGUCUCCUCCUAAAGAGUAACGGAGGAGCACGAAGGUUGGCUAAUCCUGGUCGGACAUCAGGAGGUUAGUGCAAUGGCAUAAGCCAGCUUGACUGCGAGCGUGACGGCGCGAGCAGGUGCGAAAGCAGGUCAUAGUGAUCCGGUGGUUCUGAAUGGAAGGGCCAUCGCUCAACGGAUAAAAGGUACUCCGGGGAUAACAGGCUGAUACCGCCCAAGAGUUCAUAUCGACGGCGGUGUUUGGCACCUCGAUGUCGGCUCAUCACAUCCUGGGGCUGAAGUAGGUCCCAAGGGUAUGGCUGUUCGCCAUUUAAAGUGGUACGCGAGCUGGGUUUAGAACGUCGUGAGACAGUUCGGUCCCUAUCUGCCGUGGGCGCUGGAGAACUGAGGGGGGCUGCUCCUAGUACGAGAGGACCGGAGUGGACGCAUCACUGGUGUUCGGGUUGUCAUGCCAAUGGCACUGCCCGGUAGCUAAAUGCGGAAGAGAUAAGUGCU
rnacentral:rRNA from 4 species